CUGAGGCUCAGCUGAAGCUCAGUCCCGAACAGCUGAUUGGCUGGAAACGCCACCGGGAGACCACCCCGCCCCUUUAUUCAGCCCCGCCCCUCCCACUGUGGCCGCUGAACUCCUUACCGCUGAUCUUAUUCCUACAGUGGUGAAAAGCCUCCAAAGAGUUGGAUGAUUUUCUCUUUUUGCAACUGGAUCCAUCCAGAUACUGGAAUCAGGGCGAUGGCCGUGUUGAUUAUUCCACCAUCUCCACACUCACUCAAUAAACACAAAAAACACAUGACGACACUCAAAAUGCUAUUGUUGAAACUUCAAAAUGUGGAAUUCAAAACCAGUGAGUGAUGUCAUGGUCAUAGUCUGCAUGUCAUAGGUGUGUCGUGACUAUGAUGCAUCUACAAUCUGUUGUUUGAAACACACUAAAGCUACAAUUGCAAAAUACAACCAACAUUUAUAUUGCUGUAGUUUGUAGUACUGUAAGUACUUUAUUACACAACCUGUUAAAUUACUUUGUUACUUUGAAGGUUAAGUUUUAACACAGAUGGCAAUUACAAUUUCCAGUUUCAAAAUGUAUUUAAGUUUAUAUAUAUGUAUAUGUACACACACACACACACACAAUUAUAACUGUUUUGUUCUUUCUUUCUUGGCUUCAUUAAAAAAUUCUUGACAUUUUGUGUCUCGUUCCAGAUUAAAAGUCCCCAUCAUGCAACGUCAUCAAAUGUCGUGUGGUCUUAGUUAACUUGAAAAGUAUAAAAUGUAGUAAAUGUUUUUACUACAGUUUGAAGUUGGAUUAAGUAGGGCAGGAGUCAGUCCCGAGGCCUGUGCACGAGAAGCAGCCUCGCAUGUCGUCUUCGGUUUGCCUUUCUUAUCACUGAUCUGCUGUCAGUCUCCACAGCAGUGUUUCCAUCACCAAGGCUCCAGAACGUUCAAAAUGGCGAAGAUGUGGAAAGUAUACUCAUCCAAACUCACUUCUUCCACUCAUACUUUAAUAGAAUAAUGAAAACACCCUGCUGUCCUGCUUUUAGCCUCAGUUAAAAUUGAAAUCUUGUUCUGGAUUUUACAUAAAACUUGGAUUUUUUUUUAUUGAAUCUCUUAUCACGAAAAUUUUUUACCAUUCAAGUCCAGACAAGUUCACCAUUUGCACUUUUCUGGUGGUUGUCAUUUGGGAGUCAUUUACUGGCAUUGUCCGUUGAACUACAAACCAGAUUUCUAUCUAUGUUGCAGGUUGUCAGGUGUAGAUAUAACACGACUGUAUCAAUUUGUGUUUAUGUAUAAGCAUCUGCAGAACAGACCAAGAGCUGGGUUUAAAUAUUCACUUUUUCUAAUUAGGAUAUGUAAGGUGUACAACUAAAAACCAAAGUAGACAGAAUAAAGCAGGACAGCCUGCGUCACAGCUAUUGUUGUUAUUCUGAGCGGAACAUCAAAGUUUCUCAUGAGCUGUGGUUUUAAGAGCAGGUUGCACCGCAUUGUUCAGAAACACAUAAAUGCUUUGGGUGUUUAACAUUGUCCUCCUGAGUCAACAUCUCAAAUAUUUCAGAUAGAAAAGAUACACAUACAGUAGCCUCUGCUUUUUGCUCACUGUAAUGUAAUACAGUGAGCAAAUUAUUAAACAUAUUUUCAUCUGUUUUUUUUUGACACAUCUGAAAUCAGUGCAAAGUGAGCAUUAAAAAUCACAGGAGCUGAAAUGAUACGCCAAACAAACAGCUGUCUCUCUCUGACAUCAUGAUAUUUAAUUCAUUUCAAAAAAUUAAAAUACACCUUCACAUCCUUUUAAAAUACAGUACAUUUGGCACGUAGCGCAAAAGGGCAAAAAAAAAAAAAAAUCAACAUGAACACAAAUGAAGGGCAUGGAAAUAAUUCAUCAAUGAACAAAAUGUACAGACAGAGCUUCACAAAUACAGGGACUGCGAACAAACCAACAAAAACCGCAUAAA